CCCGGUUUACUGUACCNUUAUUUGCUUCGGCGGGCCCGCCAUUCAUGGCCGCCGGGGGCUCUCAGCCCCGGGCCCGCGCCCGCCGGAGACACCACGAACUCUGUCUGAUCUAGUGAAGUCUGAGUUGAUUGUAUCGCAAUCAGUUAAAACUUUCAACAAUGGAUCUCUUGGUUCCGGCAUCGAUGAAGAACGCAGCGAAAUGCGAUAACUAGUGUGAAUUGCAGAAUUCCGUGAAUCAUCGAGUCUUUGAACGCACAUUGCGCCCCCUGGUAUUCCGGGGGGCAUGCCUGUCCGAGCGUCAUUGCUGCCCAUCAAGCACGGCUUGUGUGUUGGGUCGUCGUCCCCUCUCCGGGGGGGACGGGCCCCAAAGGCAGCGGCGGCACCGCGUCCGAUCCUCGAGCGUAUGGGGCUUUGUCACCCGCUCUGUAGGCCCGGCCGGCGCUUGCCGAACGCAAAUCAAUCUUUUUCCAGGUUGACCUCGGAUCAGGUAGGGAUACCCGCUGAACUUAAGCAUAUCAAUAGACG
rnacentral:rRNA from 1 species